rnacentral:tRNA from 1 species
GCGGACGUGGCGAAAUUGGUAGACGCAAGGGACUUAAAAUCCCUCGGCCUUGGCUGUACGGGUUCGACCCCCGUCGUCCGCA